rnacentral:rRNA from 1 species
AUUGAACGCUGGCGGCAUGCCUUACACAUGCAAGUCGAACGGCAGCACGGACUUCGGUCUGGUGGCGAGUGGCGAACGGGUGAGUAAUGUAUCGGAACGUACCUUUCAGUGGGGGAUAACGUAGCGAAAGUUACGCUAAUACCGCAUAUUCUGUGAGCAGGAAAGCAGGGGAUCGCAAGACCUUGCGCUGAUUGAGCGGCCGAUAUCAGAUUAGCUAGUUGGUGAGGUAAAGGCUCACCAAGGCGACGAUCUGUAGCGGGUCUGAGAGGAUGAUCCGCCACACUGGAACUGAGACACGGUCCAGACUCCUACGGAGGCAGCAGUGGGGAAUUUUGGACAAUGGGGGCAACCCUGAUCCAGCCAUGCCGCGUGAGUGAAGAAGGCCUUCGGGUU